rnacentral:rRNA from 1 species
UACGUAGGGGGCAAGCGUUGUCCGGAAUCAUUGGGCGUAAAGAGCGUGUAGGCGGCUCGGUAAGUCCGCUGUGAAAGUCCAGGGCUCAACCCUGGAAUGCCGGUGGAAACUGUCGAGCUAGAGUCCGGAAGAGGCGAGUGGAAUUCCUGGUGUAGCGGUGAAAUGCGCAGAUAUCAGGAGGAACACCAAUGGCGAAGGCAGCUCGCUGGGACGGUACUGACGCUGAGGCGCGAGAGCUAGGGGAGCAAACAGG